rnacentral:rRNA from 1 species
GCCAGACUCCUACGGGAGGCAGCAGUCGGGAAUAUUGCGCAAUGGAGGAAACUCUGACGCAGUGACGCCGCGUGCAGGAAGAAGGUUUUCGGAUUGUAAACUGCUUUAGACAGGGAAGAUACAAGACAGUACCUGUAAAAUAAGCUCCGGCUAACUACGUGCCAGCAGCCGCGGUAAUACGUAGGGAGCAAGCGUUAUCCGGAUUUAUUGGGUUUAAAGGGUGCGCAGGCGGCACGGCAAGCCGGCGGUCAAAUCGCGGGGCUCAACCCCGCCCAGCCGUCGGAACUGCCGGGCUAGAGUGGGCGAGAAGUGCGCGGAAUGCGUGGUGUAGCGGUGAAAUGCAUAGAUAUCACGCAGAACUCCGAUUGCGAAGGCAGCAUACCGGCGCCCGACUGACGCUGAGGCACGAAAGCGUGGGGAUCGAACAGGAUUAGAUACCCCAGUA